UACGUAGGGGGCAAGCGUUGUCCGGAAUCAUUGGGCGUAAAGAGCGCGUAGGCGGCCCGGUAAGUCCGCGGUGAAAGUCCAGGGCUCAACCCUGGGAUGCCGGUGGAAACUGUCGGGCUAGAGUCCGGAAGAGGCGAGUGGAAUUCCUGGUGUAGCGGUGAAAUGCGCAGAUAUCAGGAGGAACACCCAUGGCGAAGGCAGCUCGCUGGGACGGUACUGACGCUGAGACGCGAAAGCGUGGGGAGCGAACAGG
rnacentral:rRNA from 1 species